ACAACGAAGAGUUUGAUCCUGGCUCAGGAUGAACGCUAGCGACAGGCUUAACACAUGCAAGUCGAGGGGCAGCAUGAUUUGUAGCAAUACAGAUUGAUGGCGACCGGCGCACGGGUGAGUAACGCGUAUGCAACUUACCUAUCAGAGGGGGAUAGCCCGGCGAAAGUCGGAUUAAUACCCCAUAAAACAGGGGUCCCGCAUGGGAAUAUUUGUUAAAGAUUCAUCGCUGAUAGAUAGGCAUGCGUUCCAUUAGGCAGUUGGCGGGGUAACGGCCCACCAAACCGACGAUGGAUAGGGGUUCUGAGAGGAAGGUCCCCCACAUUGGUACUGAGACACGGACCAAACUCCUACGGGAGGCAGCAGUGAGGAAUAUUGGUCAAUGG
rnacentral:rRNA from 1 species